UACGAAGGGGGCUAGCGUUGCUCGGAAUCACUGGGCGUAAAGGGCGCGUAGGCGGUUUCUUAAGACAGGCGUGAAAGCCCCAGGCUCAACCUGGGAUGUGCGCUUGAUACUGAGAAACUAGAGUGUAGGAGAGGAAAGCAGAAUUCCUAGUGUAGAGGUGAAAUUCGUAGAUAUUAGGAAGAAUACCGGUGGCGAAGGCGGCUUUCUGGACUACUACUGACGCUGAGGCGCGAAAGCGUGGGGAGCAAACAGG
rnacentral:rRNA from 1 species